CCCGCGCCCAGAGCGCACCAAGGUCGCCACCAGCCCCCCCCCCCCGCCUGUCUCGCGCCCCUCCCGUACCUGCGGCCGCUCCGGGGCAGGUGCAGAGCCCGAAGCAGCAGUUGAGCGCGCCCUCCCUGCGCGGCCGCAUUGCUCCAGGGCGGAGCCAAGCAGGGUGUGCGGCCACCAUCCUGUGCGACUGAGUGAACCCCAGGGCCACAAAGACGAAGGGCGCAGUGUGUACCCUCAAAGAGGUCACAGCCUGAGGCAACGACAGCCAGAAACGUGUGAUGACAACCCAGAAUGGGAGGCCAAUAACCACAUGGAGAGAGUGCUGGGGAAAACAGAAACUGUUGCUUUUAAAAACCUAAAGAGCCCCUGAACAUCAGCAGUUCUUCUUGGUCCUAGGAGAUCUCAGCACGCAGGGGAGAGGGGUCGUGAGUGUGCGUGAACGAGCCCUCCUGUGGACAGAUGUGCCUGGCUACCCGUGCCAAAGCAGCCACACUGCCCUCUGAGGGUGCGCCCCGACCGCACCAGGCACCCAGGGACCCCCAGCGCUCACUGUUCCUUGCCUGCUGAGUCCGCACACCUCCUGGGAAGUGCCAGCUGCCAGGCAGAACACCCUGGCCGGACAGGCCUCAGGCUGCUCCCCAGGGCUCACAAGGGCUGCUGCAGCGCGCCGAAUAGGGUCCCCAGGGCCAGCACACCCCAGGGGGUGACCCAGCAAGGGGAAAGUGUGCCGGUGGUCCUCGGUGGGGCCACUGCUGAGGGCUACGUCUGUCCCAGCCUUGAGCCCCAAGCCUUCUCGCCUCCCACCCACCCGGCCUCCUGCCCCUGAACAUCGCCACCCAGGCACUCGGCUGGCCUGUGUCCUCCUCUGGCUGGGCCAGGUCCAAGGGCUCAGUUGUUACUCCAGGGCCGCCCAGGACAGAACUGUCAGCUCCUUGGGGUUGGCUGCAUGUGUCAGCAGCUUCAGGGCACCGGGAUACUCAGCCAUUCCCAGCCUUGAGGUCACUACAAGGACAUCGCCCACGAGAUUAGCGGUCAAGCCCGAUGCCUCCAGGAAGUAGGCUGCCCUCUGGGGGGCUCAUCUCAUCAGUCGAAGGCCCUGAGAAAACAGAGUGAGGCCUCGGAGGAGGAGGUUCAGGCCACAGCCUCAGCUCCUACUGGGUCGGCAACCUGCCCUGCUCACCCCAGCGGGGGCCUGCAGCCUGUACUCUCACAGAGGGCUCAGCGGUAUACCUCCCCAUCAGAACAGUGAGAUUUCAUGUUUGCUGCAGGAAACCUGCAGACAGUGCUGCCGAGCCUGGUCGGGUACCCACCAUGUCCAGCCCCUUCUGAGCACCAACCCCACCUGUCCAUAGCAGGCUAGGUCAGAGCUCUGCUGUUCCCUGUUUACACAUAAGGCACAGACAGGUCAGCAGCUUGGCCAAGGCAACCCCAUGCACGCAGGGCCAAGGGGCAGGCUCAGAUGUGUGGGAAGAGGCUUGGAAACCGAGUGUUGGCCUGGGGACUUUGUCCUGUCUUGGUUGGAAUGGCACUUGCGAAGUUCUGGGCAGCCCAGGUCACUAGGUUGGGCCCCGCUCCGCCCUGCCCAGGGGCCCAGGGACAGUGUCUUUCUCCUCCCCCAGUCCAGGCUGGAGGAGGCGGGUGCUGUCUGUCACGUUGCACCUGGACAGGGCCGCCGCCACUUAGCAACCAUUCCGGUUGACCGGCUGCGGGAGAGGGUGAGAAACAGGAGCUGGCGGGUGGGCAGGGCCAGGUCAGAGCCAGCUUUCCAGAGGGCAGCUGGCUGGGGGUGGGCAGGGCCGCCAGGGGAGGUGGAGCCGUGGGAAGGCAGGCACCCGUUUCCUGCCCUUCGUGACAGAGGGCGUGCUGGGGUGGGGCAGGGACACCUGGAAAGGCAGCCCAGGUCCUGAGCCCCAGGCUGGCACUGGGUCUGGUGCCCACAAGGCUGGUGCUCAGGUCCUCUUGGGGUGACGCUCCAGCUGGAAGAGCCCGGGCCAGCACUUGCCAUGCAUGAUGGCCGCAGGGAGUGGGGAGGACCAGGCUCCUGCAGAACGGCCCAGCACUGGCAGGACUGGCGCGGACGAAGGCCCCUGUGCAUGGAUGCCCAGGACUGUGACAGCACCACCACUGAGGGGGGCGGGGGAACAAGGGCACCAGGACUUUGCUUCGUGCUGGACUCAGGAGGGGCCUGGAAUCCACAUUGGCGCGAAGAGGAUCGGUGGGUGAGGGGCUCAGGUUGGGGCGCCAUGCCACGGUUCUCAUUCACAGAGGGUCUCGCUACACUUCAUGCAUGAAACUCGUAACUGAAUAGAUCCUGUUUCUGCCUGAGUACAAAAGGAUUGUGUCCACUUUAGAAAAUACAGGAAAUAAAGUCUUUUUUUUUCAUUUUUUAAAGUUACACAGAAUUGCAACACACCGUAUCAUUUGGAACACAUUUUUCACCCAAACCUAAUUUUUCUAAUCCUGCCACAUAGCUUGUAAUACUGGGUGAAAAUUUCCCAGGAUGUGUAUUUCAAAAUUUAAUUGGAUUUUCUUGGCAAUGUUUGAUUCUCAUAAAUGAUGUGGCAAAGAAGCACAGACAAAUCUUCUCACAACUGACUGUUCCUCUCGGUUAAUUUCCCGGAGGUGGGGUUAGAGGCUGGAGUGCGGCUGUUCUCAGUUUCUGAGCCGUGUACACACUGUGCACAGCCGCAGUGGCAGGCACCCGUGCCCGGCAAGUGCAGGCUCACCCUAGGUCCUUCUGCUCGGCGCUGUGCGUCCGGAGGAGGGUGAGACCCUCGCCUUCAAGACCGUCGGCCUGGCCUGGGGGCGAGCUGCCCUCUCUGGCCUGGUGUGGCAGCCACGGUGUCCGAAGCCCACUUCCCUAGGUGCCAAUGCACCGCGGAUCCCCUCUCACCCAGAAAGAAUGGCCGUCAUCAAGAAAUCAAACAGUAACAAGUGCUGGCGAGGCAGGGAGGGGGAAGGAGCCCUUCUAUUGUCGGUGGGAGUGUAAACUGGUACAACCACUGCGGAAAUCAGUGUGGAGAAUCCCAAAAAACUAAACUUGAAAAUUCCAUUUGACUCAGCUAUUUCCCUCCUAGACAUCUUCCCAAAAGAGCUAAAGUCAUCACUUCACAGUGAUCCAUGCAUGCCCAUGUUUACAGCAGCACAGCUCACAAUAGCUAAAUCUGGGUAGCAGCCUGUUAUUCAUCAGCAGAUGAAUGGAUAAAGAAAAUGUAGUAUUUACACACGAUGGAGUACUGCUCUGCCAUAAAGAAGGAUAAACUAGGAAAAUGGAUGCACCUUGCACCAUAAUGUUAAAUGAAAUAAGUCAGGCACACACAGCUUAAAUAUCAAAUGGUUUCUCUUAUAUGAGAAACCCAAAGCAAAAAUAAAGAGCAAAAUGAAAGGUAAGUGAUAGGCAAGGGGGAUAGAUCUUUUGUAAAAAGGAUAGGGGAGGGAGAGGGCACGGAGCAGAUGGGGACAGGGGGACCCAAGCUGUGUCGUGUCCACGCACCAAGUCCCAUGAUGAAUGUGAUCUCUGCUCUGGAGUUGGGCUCGGUGGAAUAAAAAGCAGAAAAAAGAAACACGUCCCGGGCCGCUCAGUGGGACCCACAUGGUAGCCGUGGGCAGGCGGAGCUGUGCGCUGUGCUGAGCGGAGGGGCUGUCGAGGGACUGUCCCCCAGGCUCUGGACAUGUUUCAGGC
rnacentral:lncRNA from 1 species